rnacentral:rRNA from 1 species
GACGAACGCUGGCGGCAUGCUUAACACAUGCAAGUCGAACGAGACGAUUGAAAGCUUGCUUUUGAGAGUCGAGUGGCAAACGGGUGAGUAACGCGUAGACAACCUGCCGUAAAGAUGGGGACAACAGUUCGAAAGGACUGCUAAUACCGAAUGUUGUAGAGUUUCCACAUGGAAAUCCUACUAAAGGUGGCCUCUACUUGUAAGCUAUCGCUUUACGAUGGGUCUGCGUCUGAUUAGCUAGUUGGUGGGGUAACGGCCUACCAAGGCGACGAUCAGUAGCCGACCUGAGAGGGUGACCGGCCACAUUGGGACUGAGACACGGCCCAA